rnacentral:misc_RNA from 1 species
GUGAAUCAUCGAAUUUUUGAACGCAAAUUGCACUCUCUGGUAUUCCGGGGAGUAUGCCUGUUUGAGGGUCAGUUGAAAUAAAAAUCGGUGUGGUUGCUGCGUUGCUUGUUGACGCACCGGAGUUGGGUCGUCUUGCCUUCGGUUAGGUGGCCUGAGAUUUUGCAUGGUUGUGUCGAACGUAUUGAAAUGAUUUUACGUACGUUUUCGAUAUCGAAUACUAGGUUUU